UAGAAGGAGAUCCUCCCACCCCCGGGCGUGGGCGGGGACUCGAGGCCACGCCCCGUAGGGAGGCGUGGCAGGGCAUCCCAGAACGUGAUCGCGACCCCCCACGGCUAGGAGGCGAGCGCGUCGCCGCCCCGGGAGUACCGCGAGAUGCAUCGUCUCUUAACUCCAGGACAAAAAGCAAAGAGAGAUUCUCCUCAGCCUUUUAAGCAUGCAGCCUAAGCGGAUGCGAUUCCAAUAAGACGUGGUUUUCAACAGUGGACGCGGCAGGGUUCAGCAGACAGCCUUCAGCAUGGGAAGAGAUACGUAUCCAGGCGCAGAGUGUACUUAAACUAUACAGAAUCGUAGUUACAUUAAGCGCACGUGGACAUUUGUACACUGAACAAAAAUAUAGCUACGGACGGGAACUGCGGGUUGACCACCAUCCUUCACCGCACUACGAAACCUGGGGAUAAAAGCAAGCGGCAACCUGUAGUGGACCCCAUUACGGCAACAGGUGAACAAAUUACAGUGCUAGAGGGCCUUAGUCACACAUCCCUCGCGGCUGGAACAACAGUGACAGACAAGAGCAAAGCAGCAAUGCAUUGCAGGCAAAGCUGAGCAUGCCCUCUCUAGCCUAGAUUUCCUCCUCUGUAAAAUGAAUGGGUGACCUCUAAGGUUCUGCCCAAUCCAGACCUGUUGUGUAGGAUCAGGAAGGGGGAAGGUUGCUGGUUUCUGGAAAUACAAGUCUACCUAGCAGACUUCAUGGAAAUGGAGGUUUCCAAAUUCCACUGGAUAGGUGUGUGGUCUGUGAUACAAGCAGAGCUUUGGCUGUGGCAUCUGCUGUUGGGAAGGGGGGGAACACUGACUGCUUCCGGAGAUGGGGAUACCCCAGCCCCGUGCUGGACCCCAGCCCCGUGCUGGCCUGGAAAAGACACAGGCUGAACUCUCCAGUGAGCCCUUCCCACAGUCAUCCUCUUCAUUUUUUUCCUCCAGCUGUCCUCUAGCCCUAAACUGCUGGCCUGACACCCCCUCAGAGAAGAACAGCCCUCUUCUAGUGACAGUAUUGACAACCUGAAAUUCCAAAUAGAGUCUAGUAAGGGCCAAAGUCAAGGUUUGGGAGAGAGGUGCUGCUCGCCUCCUCUCUAGGCAAAUUCAUGGUCCAGGUUAUUUUUUUGUUGCUGUUGUUUUUGUUUUUGUUUUGUUUUUUCAGUCAGGAGUUUUGAGAAGACCACCUACUUCAUCCCAGUGAGAAAUGUAAACAGCUGUCCCCAAAGCUUUGUCAUAGACGCCACUGCCAAAUGUAUUUCUGGGAGAGAGCACUGAACCGAAAGCAACAUGGACAUGAUCCCUCGUUUCCUGGGACUCACGAGUGUUGUAAUUGGUCAUAUGCCACUCUGUCUUUGGAGCCUCGGUUCCCCAUCAACAAGUUAUAAUAUUACAACAUACAUUCCAGUUUUAGACCAAACCCUCCAGUCACCAGUCAAGCCAGGGCAUUUUUGUUUCUCUGGACCCUUUUCUCUAAUUAUAAAGAUUAAAAAUGUGAACUUUUAAAAGGAUUGGGGGGAGAGUACGGGGGUGUAAUUGAGGUCAAAGUUGCUGGAACUCCCUGGAGGUGGUAUUGCAGGCAUCUGUGAGCUGCCUGAAAUGGAUGCUGGGAACAGAACUCAGGUCCCCUGGUGGAGCAGUGUGUGCCUUUACCCAGUGAGCCAACUCUCCAGGCCCUGAGAAUGUAAACUUUAUUGGUGGUUUCAAAAACUGGGACCAACCAGAAUUGCUUGAGAAGUCCUUUUAAAACAUCAUUUCCUGCCUUAGCCCUACUAAUUCACCAAUUUUGAUAAGCUUCAAACACAAAUACCUAAACAGACAGUGCUCACCAGGAAUACCACUUCUAGCUGAGUUCAGCUGAGAGUCAGAGGCCAUUCAGAGAGCGAGAAAAAAACAUGGACAAGGUCCACUCGACCAGGCUGAGAAUCCGGCAUUUCUAGAAGCUGUGCUCUUCCCUGGCUAACUCGGUCUCUCUUCCUCAAACCUCGGGGCUUUUGGCAAUGUGCCUCUGGACCAGUGACUGCUUUUGUUACCUAACCCUCGUCUUACUCUGCCUGCUUGAACUAAGUGAGUUUCUGCCCUGCCCCAAUCUUAUCUUUGAAGACAGAACGCCUGAUGACCAGAAGUCCCUCUUCAGGUGGCUAACUAAAACCGAUCGGGUCUAAGAUGUGUGCUGCAGUGACCGCCCCAUGACUUCUCUAAUUUCCUUAAGACUCUAUGGCAGCAUGCUAAAUGACACCUCUCGGCACCAUGACAGGUGACCAGAAAGAACCACAGAAGGAACAAAAGCAGGGGGCAUCUGGGUUCCUGGGAAACCUCUAUCCACUCCCAGGAAGAUAGAGCUCUUUCUGUCCUUCCUUAGCUCAUUCCUCCCAUGGUUCCUUCACCCAGUGGCUAUAACUCUCUGUCCCUAGCCGUUGGAGCAGCUACUUUGCAAAUUUAUCUUCCAUUACCUCCUUCCCUGUUCAGUGAACACUCACUUUUAUUGUGAAUUCUAUAACUCCGAGAGGGAAAGGGGAACCAGGAAUUAGCUACAGUUUGGCUAAUCUGUCCAAUGCCUCUACAGGCUGUAAUUGAUUCUCUUCAGUUAAGUACUCUAGAUAUUGAGCCUUCACUGACACGGACACUAACAAUUUUGCUUCCCCUCAAGAAGGAACUUAUCCUAAUUUUAUUUAUAUGUAUAUGUAUUUGAUUCGAUUUUUAAAUUUGCUCUUCGGUUGUUUGGGAGGGUUGAUUUAGACUUUCUUGAGUUUAUAUUCUAGGUAGCAAGGAAUAGAGUACGACUUAAUGAAAAUAGGCGCUCCUCUUCUGUACCCAGAAUGACUUGUCACCUGGUUCUUCUCACACAGAGCUAUUUUUCCUCUGUACUUGCCUGUCUGUAAGGAGGUGAGCCCAUUCACUGAUUCACUCCAUCAACAAAUACAUAAAGUGUACCUGCAUAUGUGCCAGCUAUCAUGUUAGAUGCCAGAGUUAUAAAUAUUGGGUCAAAAACAACCUCUGUGCUCAUGGAGUUCACAGUUGACUGCCGGCAGGUGAGUAAACAAACAGGUGGUGUAGCAGCUGAAGCAAUUGAGGUGAGAAGCUGGGUGUGGCGUCCCAUACCUGUAGUCCCAGAUGCUCAGGAGGCUGAUGUGGAAGAGUGCCGUGAGCCCACAAAGUCAAGACCGGUAUGGUCAACACAGCCUCAAGAAGUACGAAUGUGUGUCACAAGAGCCAUACAGAAGACAUCAGAGUGAUUCAUUGUACCUGUCACAGUAGAGGAAGGCGGGGCUUACUCUAGAAGAAUCGGUUAGCCUUCAUUGAGCAAACAUCAGUGGGUAUGACUCUAGGAAUGGAGUCAGAUGGAGUCAGAAAGACACACUGAAUCAGGACAAAGGAGUAGCACUGGAGCUGGGAGAGGGAGGUUGAUGCCAGGAUCUAGAGUCGCUAUUGAAGAACUGGAGAAGAAAUAAGAGGAGCCGAGUCAGGAAGGAUCCUGAAGCUUCUAUUAAGGAGUUUGGACUUGGCCCAGGAGAUGCCAGUUGUCUUCUGUUCUUAACUUCUCUAGUUGGUUCUAUCUCUCUAGGUCUGGUCCAGAGACCCCCAAAGCACACCUAACUAAUCAGCUUUAAGAAUCUUCCCUCCAGCUGGCUCGGCAGCAAGCAGCUCUAAGCCAUGAGCCAUCUCAGCAGCCCCCAAGUCUUAUUGUCAUCCUGGCCUCCUCAGUCCUGUUGGAUCCUACAGCGUUCGGGGCUCAGUUUGGGGUUGUUCCUUCUCCGGUGCUGGAAAGCUAGGAAGAGGAGGAAAGCAGUGUCUUAAGAGGGAGCUGAAAUUCAAGGUGGGAAUGUCUGCCUGGAAUGCAUUGAGGAUGGUGCUUUCUGAAGAGUAGGCGGAACUUCUCAACAUUCACAAGCUGGGACACGUCAGAAGCAACAGGAAGCUUGUUAAACGCAUGGAUGGCCACACUUUCGUCACAGGCUUCUGAUUCCAGGGCUUCAGGGUGGAGCUCUAGCAUCUGCAUUUUAACAAGGUCCCUGGAGUUAUUCAUGUGCACAUGCAGGUUGAGGUGCUUUGUAGCAGAUAACUCAGAGCUGUUCAUCCAGCAAGCACGUACCAAGAACCAGGCCAAAGCAAUGAGCUCGGAAAGAAACUCUUGCCUCACACAGGGCCUGUCAUACAGUGAGCCCUGGUUAAACACCCACACCCCCCAAAAAAAGCCUUCAAAAAGAUGUAUCAUUGCCGGGCGGUGGUGGCGCACGCCUUUAAUCCCAGCACUCAGGAGGCAGAGGCAGGCGGAUCUCUGUGAGUUCGAGGCUGGGCUGGACCGACAGCCUCCAAACAAUACAGAGAAACCCUGUCUCAUAAAAACCAAAAAAAAAAAAAGGCAAUGAACUUGAGAAGUUAGAGAGGUGGGGAAUUGAUCUGGGAAGAAUUAGGGAAAGAAGCAGGAGUGAAAUAAUAAGCUUUCUUUUUUAAAAACAAGAUGCUUGCCAAGGGACGAUAUGAGGAAAAGUUUCCUAGGUGAAAGAAUGUUUCUGACAGCUUAAAGGAUAAGGCUUACCAGCCUCAGAUGUAGAAGUGUAACAGUUAAAGGUGUGGCAGAGUGAUGAGGUGUAUCUGCGUCUUAGGGUACCAGGAAGCGGUAGGAAGGACAGCAGGAGGAGGUCUGUGGGUUUGAGGAUUAGAUCGCAGCAGAUCCACUCAGACGCAGAGUUGGAAUGAAGUCUGUGGGAUAGCACAGUCCAUAACAGCAGGCAAAGAGAACAACUGAGAAGCUGUUACUAAACUGGGUAGUGGGUGGUGCACGCCUUUAAUCCCAGCACUAGGGAGGCAGAUCUCUGCGAGUUCAAGGCCAGCCUGGUCUACAAAACUACACAAAGAAACCCUGUCCUCAAAAAAUAAAAAAUAAAAAUAAAGUUAAAGGAAUAAAAAGGAAGAGAAGAAAAAGAAACUGUUGCUGGAGAAAACCCAUUUGGAAUGAUGUCAGUAGGUUGUGGAGGGAUCAACUCCAAAGAUUUUAAAGUAGUUCCUUCCCCUGAUGGAGUUAGGAUUGUGAUUACUGUGGCGAAACACCAUGUCCAAAAGUAACGUGGGGAGGAAAGGGUUUGUUUGUUUGGCUUACACUUCCACAGCACUGUUCAUCAUCAAAGGAAGUUAGCACAGGAACUCAACCAUGUGGGAACCUGGAGGCAGGAGCUGGUGCGGAAGCCAUGGAGGGGAGCUGCUUACUGGCUUGCUAACCACGACUUGCUCAGCUGCUUCCUUAUAGAGCCCAGGACCACCAGCCCAGGGAUGGCCCCACCCACAAGGGGAUCAGCUCCCUCUCAUCAAUUAAGAAAAUGCCCUACAGCCAGAUCUUACAGAAGCUUUUUUCUCAAUUUAGGCUCCCUCCUUUCAGAUGACUCUAGAUUGUAUCAAAUUGAUAUAAAACUAUCCAGGACAUGGAGUUAAAGGCACAGCAUCUCCCAAAAUGCUCAGUGGGUAUCUUGAUUGUCUGCAGCUGAAAUCGAUUAGAAAUGGUAGCUACCGGGCCAUUCGCCCUGUCCUUUCCUACAUACAGCAAGUCAUAAAGAUUCUUUUUCGAGGAAAGUCCCUGUCCUUCCAAGAUGUAAAAUGCCUUCGGUCAUCAGAGUCUGGUAACUGGGGCCUCGGGGACACUGAAUAAACCACUGCUUUGAAAUUA